AACGAACGCUGGCGGCAUGCCUAACACAUGCAAGUCGAACGAGACCUUCGGGUCUAGUGGCGCACGGGUGCGUAACGCGUGGGAACCUGCCCUUAGGUUCGGAAUAACUCCCCGAAAGGGGUGCUAAUACCGGAUAAUGUCUUCGGACCAAAGAUUUAUCGCCUUUGGAUGGGCCCGCGUUGGAUUAGCUAGUUGGUAGGGUAAAAGCCUACCAAGGCGACGAUCCAUAGCUGGUCUGAGAGGAUGAUCAGCCACACUGGGACUGAGACACGGCCCAGACUCCUACGGGAGGCAGCAGUGGGGAAUAUUGGACAAUGGGCGAAAGCCUGAUCCAGCAAUGCCGCGUGAGUGAGGAAGGCCUUAGGGUUGUAAAGCUCUUUUACCCCGGGAUGAUAAUGACAGUACCGGGAGAACAAGCGCCGGCUAACUCCGUG
rnacentral:rRNA from 1 species